rnacentral:RNase_P_RNA from 1 species
AUCGCCGGAUGGAGGGUCGCUCCCGUGUCCGCGAAAGCGGGCGCGGGGGAGGAACUUCCGAACUUCACAGGGCAGGGUGCCGGUUCAAAGCCGCGCCGCUAACGCGGCCGGCCAUAGGCCGGGAGGCCGGGGCCAGACCCCCGGUCGACGGAUAGCGCCACAGAGAACAUACCGCCCGAAAGGGUAAGGGUGAAAAGGUGCGGUAAGAGCGCACCGCCCGCCGGGCGACCGGCGGGGCAGGGCAAGCCCCACCUGAAGCAAGGCCAAAGCGGCGUCCAGGAUGCCCGUCCACCCGCCUCGAGCGGGGACGCCAAGUGGGCCGCUGAGACAAAUGAUCCUCCAUCCGCCUCCGGGCGGGGGACAGAAUUCGGGGUACAGUCCGGCGAUAAAU